UGGUAUUAUGGAUAUAUAGUGAGGGUGGAUCAUCUUAUCUCAUCCCUACUUUAUAACUUGGUUGUCUGCAGUCUCACACCAAAAUUUCAGAGAGGCUUGAACUUACAGGCAACAAAGAAAUAUCGCUUUAAGGUAGCAGAGAGAAGGAAUCUUACCUAUAAAAAAAGCUCUCAAAAUUUCAAGGACUCUGCUCUGGCAGUGUGGAGCCUGCUUGGGAUUCUCCCCCCACCCCUUUGCCCAUCUCCCACUUGUGUGCUCUGUCUCUCUGGAUAAAUAAAUAGAUACAUAAAUAAAUAAAUAAAUAAAUAAAUAAAUAAACUUUUUUUAAAAAAAAUGUAAGAUACAGCUAUAGCAGUGCUGAUAAGCAAAUUUAUAGAACUAAAAUGCAUUAGAAAAGAUAAAACUUCUUGAGCUGAUUAAAAAAAUAAAUUCUUACAUAAAGAAACUAUAAUUAGAAGAGGAAGUAAGUCCAAAGAAAACAAAAUAAUGGGAAACAUACAGAUAAAAGCAGAAAUAAAUGAAACUGAAAAAAGAAAAAUAACAGAGAAAACAAAUGAAACAAAACUUGGUCACUUAAAAAAGUCAAUAAAAUAUAAAAUAAAAGUGAAAAACCGGCAAUAGUGACAAAAAUAAAAAUAGUAGAAAAGGUAAAAACCACCAGUAUCAGAAUUGAAAUGGAUUUUCAUUGCAAAUCCUGUAUUCAUGGAUGAUGAUAUCAUCAAGAUUGUAACAAAGGUCAUUUCACUUUAGUCUUUCUCACAAAAAGACCAACAAAAUGUAUCCAUAGACAAAAUGCCACUGGAAAACCCUAGAACCUAUAGGUGAGGCACAAGCACCACACUGGAUCAGAGAGAUGGAGAAUAACAGUAGUAAAAGGGUAAAAGGGAGGGCACCUGGCUAGGUCAGUCAGUUUAGCAUGUGACUCUUGAUAUCCAGGUUGUGAUUGGAGCCCCACAUUGGCCUAGAGACUACUUAAAAAAAAAAAAAGAAAGAAAGAAAAAGAAAAAGAAAAAGGAAAAAGAAAAGGAAAGGUAGAGUAGCAGUUUCAUUUUGCCCAGAUCACCACUCACCAGGUAAACCAUCAGGUUAUUCUCAAUAGGUAAGUGUCUGUUUCUCUCUUUCUCUUUUUUUCGCUGCUCAUUUGUUUUGUUUCUUAAAUUUCACAUGUGAGUAAAGUCAUAUGGUAUUUUUAUUUCUCUGACUGACAUAUUUCAAUUAACAAUAUACUCUCUCAUUCUAUCCAUGUUGUUGCAAAUGUCAAGAUUUUAUUCUUUUUUAUGACUGAAUAAUAUUCCUUUGUAUAUAUACAACACAUCUUCUUUGUCUAUUCAUCUAGCCAGGGACACGUGACCUGCUUUCAUUGUUUGGCAAUUAUAAAUAAUGCUGCUAUAAACAGAGAGGUUCGUGUAUCCUGUUGAAUUACUGUCUUUUUAUUUUUUUGGGUAAAUAACUAGUAUGAUUAGUGGAUCAUAGGGUAGUUUUAUUUUUAAUUUUUUGAGGAACUUCCAUACUGUUUUGCAUAAUGUCUGCACCAGUUUGUAUUCCCACCAAGAGUGAAUGAGGGCUCAUUUUUCUCCACAUCCUUGUCAACACUUGUUUCUUGUGUUAUUGAUUUUAGCCAUUCUUAUAGGUGCAAGGUGAUAUCUCAUUGUAGUUUUGAUUUGCAUUUCCCUACUGAUGAGUGAUGUGGAACAUCUUUUCAUGCGAAUGUUGGCCAUCUAGAUGUUUUCCUUGGAGGAAUGUCUGCGCCCCUCUUCUGCUAAUUUUUAAUUUUGAUUAUUUGUUUUUGGGAUGUUGAUUUGCAUAAGUUCUUUAUAUAUUUUGGAUACUAACCUUUUAUCAGAUAUAUCAUUUGCAAAUAACUUCUCUCAUUUCAAGGGUGGAAACUUAAAUUUUUAAUUGUUUCUUUUUGUAUGAAUAAACUUUUUAUUUUGAUAUAGGCUCAAUAGACUAUUGCUGUUUUUGUUUCCAUUGCCUCAGGACAUACAGAAAUAAUUUGCUAUGGCUGAUUUCAAAGACAUCUAAACCUACCCUAAACCUACUUUGUUGAGGGUUUUUAUCAUAAAUGAUGUUAUACUUUCUCAAAUACCUUUUCUGUAUAUGCUGUCCUCCAGGAUUUUUAUGUUUUCAGUUUUUACAUUUGGGUCUUUAAUAUAUUUUAUGUUUUGGGUAUAGUGUAAUAAAUUGGUCCAGUUUCUUUCUUUUGCGUGUAGCUGAGAAGUUUUUCCAACACCAUUUGUUUAAGAGUCUGUGUUAUUUCUCAUUGGAUAUUCUUUCCUGCUUUGACAAAGAUUAUAUGACCAUAUAAUUGUGGGUUUAUGUCUGGGUUUUCUGUUCUGUUACCUUGAUCUACAUGUCUAUUUUUGUGUCAGUACCACACUGUUUUGAUUACUACAUCUUUGUAAUAUAACUUGAAGUCUGGAAUUGUGAUACCGACAGCUUUGCUUUUAUUUUUCAAAACUGUUUGACUCUUGAGGGUCUUUUGUGAUUCCAGACAAAUUUUAAGAUUGCUUGUUCUAACUCUGUGAAACAUACUGAUAUUUUGAUAGGGAUUGCAUUAAAAUGCAUAGAUUGCUUGGGGAAGUCUAGACAUUUUAACAGUACUUAUUCUUUUAAUCCAUGAGCAUGGAAUGUCAUUCCAUUUCUAUGUACUCUUCAAUUUAUUUCAUCAGUGUUUUAUAGUUUUCAGAGUACAAAUCUUUUACCUCUUUGAUGAAGUUUAUUUCUAGAUAUCUUAUUAUUUUUGGUGUAGUUUUAAUGGUACUUUUUUUCAAUUUUUCUUUUUGCUGUUUCAUUAUUAGUGUAUAGAAAUGCAACAAAUUUUUGCAUGUUGAUUUAGUAUCCUUCAAAUGAACUGAAUUCAUUCAUCAGUUCCAGUAGUUUUUUGGUGGAAUCUUUAAGUUUUUCUAUAUAGAGCAUCAUGUCACCUGAAAAUAAGGAGUUUUACUUCUUUUGUUUUUACCAAUUUGUAUGCAUUUUAUUGUUUUGUUGUUAUCUAAUUGCUGUGGCUAAAACUCCCAGUAGUCUUUUAAAUAAAAGUGGUGAGAAUGGA